CUCCUAACUUGCUUAGUGCAGUAAAGUCAGAAUCAAAUUUAAUCUCAUCUUGAUUUUCUGACAUUUUUUAAAUACUAAGCUUUUCUACAUCAAUAAAAUUUAAUCUGUAUUUGGCAAAACUUGCAGGAAAUUUGGACCCCAAUCCUCUUCAAUUUUGUACUUUAUUUACCUGUUUGGAUUUGGGCGUCACUGAUGACUCUUUUGUAG
rnacentral:lncRNA from 1 species